GGAGAGGUGGCAGAGUGGUAAUGCAGCAGAUUGCUAAUCUGUGAACGCGUAAGUGUUCCCCGAGUUCGAGUCUCGGUCUCUCCGCAA
rnacentral:tRNA from 1 species